GGGGAAUUUUCCGCAAUGGGCGAAAGCCUGACGGAGCAAUACCGCGUGAGGGAAGAAGGCUCUUGGGUUGUAAACCUCUUUUCUGAGGGAAGAAAAAAAUGACGGUACCUCAGGAAUCAGCAUCGGCUAACUCCGUGCCAGCAGCCGCGGUAAUACGGAGGAUGCAAGCGUUAUCCGGAAUGAUUGGGCGUAAAGCGUCCGCAGGUGGCAUAUCAAGUUUGCGGUUAAAGGUUCUGGCUCAACCAGAAACAGGCCGUGAAAACUGAUAAGCUAGAGUAUGGUAGGGGCAGAGGGAAUUCCCAGUGUAGCGGUGAAAUGCGUAGAGAUUGGGAAGAACACCGGUGGCGAAAGCGCUCUGCUAGGCCAAAACUGACACUGAGGGACGAAAGCUAGGGGAGCGAAUGGGAUUAGAUACCCCAGUAGUC
rnacentral:rRNA from 1 species